AGCAGCCGCGGUAAUUCCAGCUCCAAUAGCGUAUAUUAAAGUUGUUGCAGUUAAAAAGCUCGUAGUUGAAUUUCGGGAUCAAAUUGUCGGUCGUGCCUUGGUACGCACUGGCAUUACUGGUUCCUACCUUCUGAAGAACCGCCAUUGUCAUUAAUUUGGUGUCGUGGGGAAUUCAGGACUGUUACUUUGAAAAAAUUAGAGUGUUUAAAGCAGGCGCACGCUUGAAUACAUUAGCAUGGAAUAAUGAAAUAGGACGUUUGAUUCUAUUUUGUUGGUUUCUAGGAUCGACGUAAUGAUUAAUAGGGAUAGUUGGGGGCAUUAGUAUUCAAUUGUCAGAGGUGAAAUUCUUGGAUUUAUUGAAGACUAACUACUGCGAAAGCAUUUGCCAAGGAUGUUUUCAUUAAUCAAGAACGAAAGUUAGGGGAUCGAAGACGAUCAGAUACCGUCGUAGUCUUAACCAUAAACUAUGCCGACUAGGGAUCGGAUGAUGUUAAUUUUUUAAUGACUCAUUCGGCGCCUUACG
rnacentral:rRNA from 1 species